AUACGGAGGAUGCGAGCGUUAUCCGGAUUUAUUAGGUUUAAAGGGUGUGUAGGCGGUAUUUUAAGUCAGUGGUGAAAUCUCGGAGCUUAACUUCGAAACUGCCAUUGAUACUAGAAUACUUGAGUAUAGUUGAGGUAGGCGGAAUAUGUAAUGUAGCGGUGAAAUGCAUAGAUACUACAUAGAACACCGAUUGCGAAGGCAGCUUACUAAACUAUUACUGACGCUGAUGCACGAAAGCGUGGGGAGCGAACAGGAUUAGAAACCCCAGUAGUCC
rnacentral:rRNA from 1 species